AAGGCAGUCGGUAAAAUGAGGUCAACUUCUUUAAUUUUUUUUUGUGGCGAUAGUAGCACUGACAUACGCUAGAAGCUAUGAAGAUAUAAAAGAAGAAAUAAAAAAUGAAGUUGAAAAUGAAAUUAUGGACAAUCUUGAAGAAGAAAACGAUGAGUUAGAUGACAAUUCUCAAGAAGUCAAUGAUCCAAGAGCACGAAGAUGGCGCCGAGCAUUCCGUCGAAUCCGUAUCAGACAGGUAGUUCCAUAUAUACCACAUCUAAUAAAAGCUUACCAAACCGGCAAAAAGUAAUAGCAAAAAUGAAUGGAAAAUCAAA